AGGGUGAUCGGCCACACUGGGACUGAGACACGGCCCAGACUCCUACNGGGAGGCAGCAGUAGNNGGAAUCUUCGNGCAAUGNGGGGGAACCCUGACCGAGCAACGCCGCGUGAGUGAAGAAGGUUUUCGGAUCGUAAAGCUCUGUUGUUAAGGAAGAACGAGUGUGAGAAUGGAAAGUCCAUACUGUGACGGUACUUAACCAGAAAGGGACGGCUAACUACGUGCCAGCAGCCGCGGUAAUACGUAGGUCCCGAGCGUUGUCCGGAUUUAUUGGGCGUAAAGCGAGCGCAGGCGGUUAGAUAAGUCUGAAGUUAAAGGCAGUGGCUCAGCCAUUGUAGGCUUUGGAAACUGUUUAACUUGAGUGCAGAAGGGGAGAGUGGAAUUCCAUGUGUAGCGGUGAAAUGCGUAGAUAUAUGGAGGAACACCGGUGGCGAAAGCGGCUCUCUGGUCUGU
rnacentral:rRNA from 1 species